UCCGAUGGUUGGCAGGUCGACUCCAAAGAAGGUAAGAGUCGACUCUCAGAGGAACACAAGGAAAAAGUCAGAGAACGAUUUUCGGACUCCGAGAUUCGAGUCGACUCCCGCAGUACACGAAUCGACUCCGAGACUGAGCGACCAUCAACAGACAGAAGACCAUGUUACUGCCUCUGAGAUUCGAGUCGACUCCCAGACUGCUCGAGUCGACUCCAAGACAAGCUUCACGUCAAAAGGCAGAAGACCAACUUUCGGAAACUGAGAGCCGAGUCGACUCCAAGGAGGUUCGAGUCGACUUCAAGACUGGAUGAGCCAGACGACAGAGAAUCGAGAGUUCGGGCUCUGAGAUUCGAGUCGACUCCCAGGACAGUCGAGUCGACUCGAGUGGACAAAAUUCAAAUUUGGAUCCACGGACUUCAGUGGAUGAGCCGACUCCAAAAAUUGCCAGGUCAACUCCAGAAGUUGGCGAGUCGACUCCAGGUCAAGACGAGUCGACUCCCAGUCAAGACGGCAACUUUAAUUCAAAUUUGGAGCAGUUGCCGAGUCGACUCCGGAAAAGCGUGAGUCGACUCCUGCUACAGACGAGUCGACUCCUGAUCGCGCGAGUCGACUCCAACCCACCAACGGUCAUAUUGUCAGGCUGCGCAGAGUGUGCAGAACGGCCAGAAAAAGCAGAGUAAUGGCUAGUUUCCGUGGGGGUUGGCAUAAAUAGCCACAGAGGACUGUAGCAAGGUAGA
rnacentral:lncRNA from 1 species